AUCGCUUCUUUCCCUCAUCGGCCACCGCUUCAUCUUGUGUCGCUGCUCUUCUUGGCGUGAUUAUUCGCCAGCUUUUUCGCCUUACAUAGACUGAAAAAUUUAGGGUUUUCAGCGUGUUUCCCGUUUGCUUGGCUAUGUUUCCUUCGGUAGUUAUUACAAUCUCUAGACAAGAGUUACGCCAACACAAUAUUCAGUCUCCGGAAGUGUAUGCUUGACGAAGUAGGAUGGUCUCCAUGAGGGAGCUGAGCGACCAUUGGUUUCAAGAACCUAUCAAUUGUUCCUUCUUUUUGAAAAAUAGGGGCCAUGGAGAAAAACAGCAAUGACGUGUUUCGAUGUAUUGCUGCAAAUUGCAUUGACAAGUCAUGACUAAAAAGCAUGUCUUUAGCUUUCAAGGCGUGAGUGACAUUGCGUAAUCUUCUACUCUAAAUUAUAUGCGUGCACUUACGAAUGGCAGCAUAAAGCAGAGUGAUCUAAUGUCGUCGUCUUCUUUAUUUUUCACUUUUCAGUCCAAAACUUCCAUGAGCUUUCAGCAUGGUGGUUGUUAUUAUUAUCCAUGAGGGAAAGGUACGCAUCAGUUAGCAGUCAGCAUCUCUAGAAGACCAGAACAUCAUGGGCACAUAAACAAUGUCUCCAUCCGGGAAAAGGAGUGAACUAGAUUAGCGGAAGGCUGUUAUAAGAAGAUGCUUCAUUCCAAGGGCAUCAUCAUUGAUAGCAUUUGUUAUCUUAUAGUAGCAUCUUUGAGUUUAUUAUGUUCUAAAGACUAAAUUAUCGUUAAAAAACGAGUUCUCUUUUGACCAACUGUUCAACAAGAUUCUUUGUUCAUUA